rnacentral:miRNA from 1 species
AGCAAAAGCUAAGGAAAAGGAA